GGGCUUGACAUCCCACGAACCUGCCCGAAAGGGUGGGGUGCCCGCAAGGGAACGUGGAGACAGGUGGUGCAUGGCUGUCGUCAGCUCGUGUCGUGAGAUGUUGGGUUAAGUCCCGCAACGAGCGCAACCCUCACCCCUAGUUGCCACCGGGUAAUGCCGAGCACUCGAGGGGAACUGCCAGCGUCAAGCUGGAGGAAGGCG
rnacentral:rRNA from 1 species